UUGUAAUCGGGUGUCGUUCGGAAAGCAUACUAUGUUUUGGUCAUAGAGGAAAUUUGAAGUUGAUUACAAG
rnacentral:tRNA from 1 species